AACGAACGCUGGCGGCAUGCCUAACACUUGCAAGUCGAACGAGACCUUCGGGUCUAGUGGCGCACGGGUGCGUAACGCGUGGGAACCUGCCUUUAGGUUCGGAAUAACUCAGAGAAAUUUGAGCUAAUACCGGAUGAUGUCUUCGGACCAAAGAUUUAUCGCCUUUAGAUGGGCCCGCGUUGGAUUAGCUAGUUGGUGGGGUAAAGGCCUACCAAGGCGACGAUCCAUAGCUGGUCUGAGAGGAUGAUCAGCCACACUGGGACUGAGACACGGCCCAGACUCCUACGGGAGGCAGCAGUGGGGAAUAUUGGACAAUGGGCGAAAGCCUGAUCCAGCAAUGCCGCGUGAGUGAUGAAGGCCUUAGGGUUGUAAAGCUCUUUUACCCGAGAUGAUAAUGACAGUAUCGGGAGAAUAAGCUCCGGCUAACUCCGUG
rnacentral:rRNA from 1 species